GUCCCCGUAGUUCAGCUGGAUAGAAUAAGCGCCUCCUAAGCGCUAGGUCGCAGGUUCAAAUCCUGCCGGGGACGCCA
rnacentral:tRNA from 1 species